AUGCACGCUGGCGGCGUGCCUAAUACAUGCAAGUCGAGCGAACGGACGAGAAGCUUGCUUCUCUGAUGUUAGCGGCGGACGGGUGAGUAACACGUGGAUAACCUACCUAUAAGACUGGGAUAACUUCGGGAAACCGGAGCUAAUACCGGAUAAUAUUUUGAACCGCAUGGUUCAAAAGUGAAAGACGGUCUUGCUGUCACUUAUAGAUGGAUCCGCGCUGCAUUAGCUAGUUGGUAAGGUAACGGCUUACCAAGGCAACGAUGCAUAGCCGACCUGAGAGGGUGAUCGGCCACACUGGAACUGAGACACGGUCCAGACUCCUACGGGAGGCAGCACUAGGGAAUCUUCCGCAAUGGGCGAAAGCCUGACGGAGCAACGCCGCGUGAGUGAUGAAGGUCUUCGGAUCGUAAAACUCUGUUAUUAGGGAAGAACAUAUGUGUAAGUAACUGUGCACAUCUUGACGGUACCUAAUCAGAAAGCCACGGCUAACUACGUG
rnacentral:rRNA from 1 species